GUAUGUGAGGGUGAUGUGGCUGUGCCAUCUGUCACUCCUUUGAUUGCUAGGCUUGAUUUCGCUGAUCUGGCAGCCUAGGCAAGUGUCUCCUUCCUCCCUCACCACUCCACGUGCUCCGGUAUGUUGCCUGGGCAGGGGCACUCUCCAGGAAGAGGAUGACUUUCCCAGGCAGAGGACCACUUUUCUGUCAAGGGUAUACAAGUAGCUUUGCUUCCCUGCUAGAACAUCCCAACAACCUCUCAAAGUGAUCUGACAUUGAGUUUGUGUCUUCUACAUCCUAGACAUAUCUCAUAUAAUCCUCAUCCAGUGAAAUAGGUG
rnacentral:snRNA from 1 species